CGUUUUUGUUCUGCAACAUUCUACAGCCAUUUCUGGCAGCCUUUUAUUCCGCUAAUGGUGCUUUAAUUGGUGGGAACAAAGCUACAAGGCAUAAUAACAGAUAUGUGUUUGGAUAGUCAUGACAAAUCCCAUAUGAUCAAAGGAACUUUGCUUGUGAGGCCUAGUGACCACCUUUUCUGGUUUGGAUAAUUGGAUGUCCCAAGCUGCUACUUCAUCUUAUUAGCUUCAUAUUGUUUCAGGUUAUUCUUUAACACCGUACAAUUCUUGAUUCUUAUACUUGGAAAACAUGUAUUUAAACUCAUUAUUAGAGUAUUUUGCAUCAUGCAAAA